GACAGAGGUGCCAAGCGUUAGGCGGAAUCACUGGGCUUAAAGCGUGUGUAGGCGGAAUUGUAAGUACCUUGUGAAAUCCCCCGGCUCAACCGGGGAACGGCUGGGUAUACUGGCGGGCUUGGGUCACCCAGGGGCAGACGGAACAAGCGGUGGAGCGGUGAAAUGCGUAGAUAUCGCUUGGAACGCCGGCGGCGAAAGCGGUCUGCUGGGGGUGUACCGACGCUGGAGACACGAAAGCCCAGGGGAGCGAACGGG
rnacentral:rRNA from 1 species